GCCAAGAAGAAAUAUAAUGAUGAAAGCAUUAAGCUGGAUGAAUUGCAAUCCCAGUUUAAAGCAGCAGAUAAGAUUCGCCAAGAAGCAUAUGCUAAUUUACAGAGUAUGAGGAAGCAAUUAUAUGAGAAGAACAAAUACUGCUGGAAGUAUCGGGAUGACGCAAAGGAAGCCAAUGAAAUAGCGUCAAGUCGAGAUCUAGAGAGACUGCAACAUUUUUGUGUUAAUCAGGUGGAGCGCAUGAUGGAACUGUGGAACACAAAUGCUGAGUUCAGGGAAGAAUAUAUUAAG
rnacentral:misc_RNA from 1 species